rnacentral:snoRNA from 1 species
GGCAAAGAUGAAGAGUGCUUUAAAUUUCUGACACCUCUUGUAUGAGAAAAGCUUUGAAAAAGUUUUUCCUUGAGCAGAGAUAGCAACACUCUGAGCC